UACAGAGGUCCCAAGCGUUGUCCGGAUUUACUGGGCGUAAAGAGCGCGCAGGCGGUCGUGCAAGUCGCGUGUGAAAGCCCCCGGCUCAACUGGGGAGGGUCACGCGAUACUGCUCGACUUGAAGGCAGGAGAGGGAAGUGGAAUUCCCGGUGUAGUGGUGAAAUGCGUAGAUAUCGGGAGGAACACCAGUGGCGAAGGCGACUUCCUGGCCUGUUCUUGACGCUGAGGCGCGAAAGCUAGGGUAGCAAACGGG
rnacentral:rRNA from 1 species